rnacentral:rRNA from 1 species
GAUGAACGCUGGCGGCGUGCCUAAUACAUGCAAGUCGAGCGAACGGACGAGAAGCUUGCUUCUCUGAUGUUAGCGGCGGACGGGUGAGUAACACGUGGAUAACCUACCUAUAAGACUGGGAUAACUUCGGGAAACCGUAGCUAAUACCGGAUAAUAUUUUGAACCGCAUGAUUCAAAAGUGAAAGACGGUCUUGCUGUCACUUAUAGAUGGAUCCGCGCUGCAUUAGCUAGUUGGUAAGGUAACGGCUUACCAAGGCAACGAUGCAUAGCCGACCUGAGAGGGUGAUCGGCCACACUGGAACUGAGAUACGGUCCAGACUCCUACGGGAGGCAGCAGUAGGGAAUCUUCCGCAAUGGGCGAAAGCCUGACGGAGCAACGCCGCGUGAGUGAUGAAGGUCUUCGGAUCGUAAAACUCUGUUAUUAGGGAAGAACAUAUGUGUAAGUAACUGUGCACAUCUUGACGGUACCUAAUCAGAAAGCCACGGCUAACUACGUG